CCUUUGUUAAUGACAAAUGCUCAACAUUGUCACUGAGUUGAAGAGUGUGAGAUGAUGUUGUUAGAAAUUGCACAAGAUGUUCUAGAAUCAAUACUGAAAUCCACCUUGUAAUAUCUGAGAUGAAGAAAUUAAUUUUCACUCACAAAUCAAGCAACUGUCCAUCUCCUACAGCUUUCAGAAUUUUUUUAUUAUUUUAAAAGGAUGUUUGUCCAGACAUAAGGAAAUAUAGACGUUCAAAUGAAAAAAGCUAGUUUUUGUUUUUUUGUGUCUUUGUUUUGAGACAGAGUCUCGCUCUUUCGCCCAGGCUGGAGUGCAGUGGCGCGAUCUCUGCUCACUGCAAGCUCCGCCUCCCGGGUUCACGCCAUUCUCCUGCCUCAGCCUCCCAAGUAGCUGGGAUUACAGGUGCCCGCCACCACGCCCGGCUAAUUUUUUGUAUUUUCAGUAGAGACGGGAUUUCACCGUGUUAGCCAGGAUGGUCUCGAUCUCCUGACCUCGUGAUCCGCCUGCCUCGGCCUCCCAAAGUGCUGGGAUUACAGGCGUGAGCCACCGCACCCGGCCGAAAAAAGCUAGUUUUAAAUGGCCAAAUCAGUCUCAAGUUUUAAUUAACCUUUUAGCAAUUAUCUUAGAAAAUCUUUAAGAUUUUAACAUUCCUUGUAAUUUGGAGUUUUUAAGAGCUCAUUUAGAGGCCCCGCUGUCUCAGGCAGCAGUGAAAUGUGUUGUUUAGCAGGUGAUUUGAAGGCUGGGUGGCCAGCAUGCACCCUGGUGUUGGUCCCAUGUCCAUGGCUUAAUAGCUGUGUCCAUCAUUUUUGUCAGGCCUGAUGAUUACUCCAUGAUCACCACAAAAUGUUAACUGGUCUCCUGUGUCUCCACACCUCUUAGGCAUUAAAAAAAGAAGGAUUGUUUAUUUUUAGAAUGAAUAAGUCUGGCUAGCCUGAUUUCUAGUUGACAGUGAUAUUGUUUUGUCACAAUGAAUACCUCAACAGGAAUUCCAAAUCCUAGAACUUGCUUUGGACUCAACACAUCUAACCACUCUUCAGCUGAUAUCCACUUGCUGACAAAUGAAUCUCUCUGGCCCCUGGACUGUGCCCUGAAACACAGCUUAAAACACUGAACAGAAUCCCGACAUAAGUUUGGGAUCAUGAACCCAUGACAUCAACAUAGUCAGGUUGAGUAUGAAGAACACUGUGCUGUGGUGACAGGGAGCCUGGUUUCUUCCUGGUUUUGGCAUUAGCUCUAUGUGUGACCUCAACCAAGUCACUCAAGCUGUUACAGUCUCUCUAUGUGGAUGAAAUGAAGGGGUUGAAAUAGCUACUCACUGUAGCUCUGAAUGGCUAUAAUUCUAUGAAACUAGAAAAGAAUAAAAUGUGUUUAUAGUCGUUCUCUGACCCUAUUUCUCCUUUUUUAAUAAA
rnacentral:lncRNA from 1 species